rnacentral:piRNA from 1 species
UCAUAUACCCUAUCACGCUCUGAAGCAUA